UGCACGGUCUAUUAGCUUCAUCAUCUUCAAUCUCUUCAUUUCCACCUUCUAUUCUACCUUCACUAAUCUCUAGAGCAGCAAUAUUUUCUUCAAAAUUAGAUUCUAGUGCCUCAGUAUUAAAAUCCAGCUUUCUCUUUGCAGAAUUAUCUCCAUGAAAUUCCCUAUCACCACCUUCGAAUUCUUCAAUUUGAUGAUUUCGCAGUGACUUUAGGCACUUGCUUGGACUAA
rnacentral:misc_RNA from 1 species